AGCUGGUCCGAGUGCAGUGCGGUUUACAACUGAUUGAUCACAACCAGUUACAGAUGUCUUUGUUCUUCUGCACUCCCACUGCUUCUCUUGACUAGCCUUAA
ensembl:misc_RNA Y_RNA Y RNA